rnacentral:rRNA from 1 species
GAUUAACGCUGGCGGCGUGCCUAACACAUGCAAGUCGAACGAGGUAGCAAUACCUAGUGGCAGACGGGUGAGUAACACGUGACCAACCUACCCUAGAGUGGGGGAUAACUAGCCGAAAGGUUAGCUAAUACCGCAUGACACGUACCGGGGCAUCCCGGAACGUUGAAAGGAGCAAUCCGCUCGAGGACGGGGUCGCGUCCGAUUAGCUAGUUGGUGGGGUAACGGCCUACCAAGGCUCCGAUCGGUAGCUGGUUUGAGAGAGCGACCAGCCACACUG